rnacentral:rRNA from 1 species
UGGCUCAGAUUGAACGCUGGCGGCAGGCCUAACACAUGCAAGUCGAACGGUAACAGAAAUCAGCUUGCUGAUUUGCUGACGAGUGGCGGACGGGUGAGUAAUGUCUGGGAAACUGCCUGAUGGAGGGGGAUAACUACUGGAAACGGUAGCUAAUACCGCAUAACGUCGCAAGACCAAAGAGGGGGACCUUCGGGCCUCUUGCCAUCGGAUGUGCCCAGAUGGGAUUAGCUAGUAGGUGGGGUAAUGGCUCACCUAGGCGACGAUCCCUAGCUGGUCUGAGAGGAUGACCAGCCACACUGGAACUGAGACACGGUCCAGACUCCUACGGGAGGCAGCAGUGGGGAAUAUUGCACAAUGGGCGCAAGCCUGAUGCAGCCAUGCCGCGUGUAUGAAGAAGGCCUUCGGGUUGUAAAGUACUUUCAGCGAGGAGGAAGGUGUUGUGGUUAAUAACCGCAGCAAUUGACGUUACUCGCAGAAGAAGCACCGGCUAACUCCGUGCCAGCAGCCGCGGUAAUACGGAGGGUGCAAGCGUUAAUCGGAAUUACUGGGCGUAAAGCGCACGCAGGCGGUUUGUUAAGUCAGAUGUGAAAUCCCCGGGCUCAACCUGGGAACUGCAUUUGAAACUGGCAAGCUUGAGUCUCGUAGAGGGGGGUAGAAUUCCAGGUGUAGCGGUGAAAUGCGUAGAGAUCUGGAGGAAUACCGGUGGCGAAGGCGGCCCCCUGGACGAAGACUGACGCUCAGGUGCGAAA